GACCGAUCAUCCUGAGACUGAACUAAAGCCAGGGAUCAAUCUUCUUGGCGCCGUUGAUGAAUUAUUUUUUGAUACCUAUGAUAGAUUUGAACCUGUCAAUGAAUCCUCAUCUGAUAAUUGUUUCAUAUCGACUAGUUAUGAUGCUACAACACAUUUCGAGUCGACUGUUACCGAUGUUCUUGCACUGUAUACCAAAAUUACUGGAAAGACUGUUGAACUUAGCGUGGAUCUAAGUGCUGCAAGCGCCGCUGAGGAAUGAAGAGACUUAUCAAGCAUUAUUUAUGUACCGAG